rnacentral:rRNA from 1 species
UAGAGUUUGAUCAUGGCUCAGAUUGAACGCUGGCGGCAUGCUUUACACAGGCAAGUCGAACGGUAACAGGGAGCUUGCUCCGCUGACGAGUGGCGAACGGGUGAGUAAUGCAUCGGAACGUACCCAGUCGUGGGGGAUAACGUAGCGAAAGUUACGCUAAUACCGCAUACGUCCUGAGGGAGAAAGCGGGGGACCGAAAGGCCGCGCCAGCAAAUUGACGCCUACCCGGAGCCCGACCAGAUUUUCAUCGUGCUCGCCACCGCCGUUGCCGAAGUGGGCCGGGAUCACGACUGCGAACGGGCGAUUGUUGAACCCUCGUCGAUGCGCUCGAUCAUCCAGCUCGCCGGGCGCAUCCGCCGCCAUCGCCCCGAGGCUUACGAACAAGCCAACCUGCUGCUGCUCGAUACCAACAUCAAGCACCUCGUCGAAGGCCCCGGCAAACCCGCUUUUAUGCGCCCCGGUUUUGAGCACAGCGACCAAGGCUUUCAGCUGCACAGCCACCGCCUCAACGACAUCC